GCCAUCGGUGGUGGCCGGAGCAUCCGAGCUUUGCCUCCCGAUUCCGGCAGCCGCGGCUGAACAGAGCAGGCUAAAGCCCGGCGGCUUUGCGCCAUCGGCCGAGCGGCGGCGGCCGGGAAGGGACCGGCUGCGCUGCGCUGCGCGGCGCUGCUCCCGCCAGGCGCCGAGGCCCCCGGAGAAGGCAACGCAGGGCCGAGCUCCCGCCCCCUCGGCUGCACCCGCUCCUGGGCGAGCGCGCAGGACACCGCCCCGGGGAAGGGAUGGAUUCCCGGGGUUCCUGAGCUACGCAGGCCCAGCCUGGGGGUCGCUUUGCGUCCAUCUUUACCCCCCCACCUCCAAGGCCGAGGGCAGUUUGGGCUUCGCAGCCCGAAGCCUGGCAGGGGCUGCUUCCGGCUGCCUGGCUGGGAAAUUCCCGCUGUUGCCAUGGCACCCGGCACUUGUUGCGGGGGGCGGCCUCCCGCUGCACCCCGCGGGGUGCUCCGCAUCCCCUUCUGCACCGCCCUGCUGGCCGACCCUAGUUUUCCAGCCUUUGCUUCCCUCCCCAUCAGGCCUCCUGGGCUCACAUGAAAUAGCAAGUUCAAGACAGAAUUGGGGUUAAAAACAGUCCAUCGGGGUGGCUUAUAA
rnacentral:lncRNA from 1 species